AGAAGAAGAAGAAAUCUCAUGAAAAAAGGAAAAAAAGAUGGUUAGAUCGAUUCAUCUGUAUCUAAAAGAUGUUGAUGGGUUUGAUGCACAAUGACAACGGAAAACACAAUUGAAUCAAAGACAAUGUAUGUCUUAUGCGUGAAAUGAAUCUUCUAAUAUCUUUUUAUUAUGCAAUGGCAUAUGUUUGUUUUUUUCUUUCUUAUGUAUUUUGUUAUCACGUGUCUAGCACGUCAAUGUACUAAAAGUAUAUUAUUUUUGUAAGGAAAGCAUUUCAUAAAUAUAGAAUAUAUCUACUUACAUUUUUAAAAACAUGUUUGCAAAAAGUAUAGAUUUUGUGGAGUCGAAGAAUUGUAGAUGUUUCUGUACACUUAGAGGGUUACAUAGUAAUAAUAGUAUAUCAUUGUACUUACAUUUCAAUUUAUUUAUCUUAAAUAUAUUUGUAGAUGUUUUUGUUUUUAAAGUAUGUCAUAUUUGCUGAAUAUAUCUACUUUCAAUUUUAUCGAUAACUUUAUUUUAUGGCUUGUUUUGUUGAGUAAGGAUUUGUUUUUUUUUGCGGUUUAAGUUGAGUUGAUGUCGCUUUGUUUUGCUUUCACUGGAAUUGGUUUGUCAUAUGUUUUUUUUUUAUUGUUCUGGGUUUCCUUUAUGCAAAACAAAUUAAAUAUGAUAUCAUGUAUUUAAACUCUAAACGAAUUUAUUUGAAUAUACUAUAGACGUGGAUAUAUUCUCGGUUCUUUUUUUUUUGUGAAUUUAGUCCAAAAACUUUUUGUACGAAGGUUAAAUUCGUGCAUCGAGCUAUAAUUUCGAGCAGGUUAUGUCAAUAUAUUUGCUUUCUACACGCUAAUCGGUUGGCCAGGCGUUUUUUGCACAUUUUGGGUAACGACGAAAUAUCUACGUUUUAUUUUAUAAAUUUGCACUGAUAACAAUAUUUGUGAUAAGAUUUCUUUUGGGAUUUUUUUUGGUUAUCCAUUAGUAACUGUAGGUUUAAAAAAUAAGUUAACAAAAUUCGUUUUGCAAGCAAAUAAAUAUGUUGGUUACGUUCAACUAGUCAUUCAAAGAUUUAAUAUUCAUGAACAAAAAUAACUUCACAGAAUAUACAUUUUAGGCAUGAAAUAGAUUUAAAAUAAUAGUGUGUAAAUUCUUAUUUUCAAAUUUUUUUGUUUCAUAUUUAUACAUAAUGUGUUUUAUAAAACAUGUUCAUUUCUUUUUUGUUUUUUUUUAAUAAAUGAUCUUAAAUUUU